GCACUGAUAACAGAAAUUGCGCAGCGCGCAUCAUGUGUUGUGACAGGUGAUACUUGCUAUCAGCGUGCAGAGGAUCGAUCAAGCGGGCAAACCUAGUGGUAAGGCCUGUUUUCAAUUUGCGUUUUCGACUCUGAAACUUCAAGGUUCAUUGAAUGAAUUUGUUUUAUAUCACCUUCACAUCCCUCACGAGAAAAUGCCGUGCAAUGGUACUCCUCUUAAGUACAAAGACUUCUUUGAGGAGUGGUGGUCUGCAAAAGGACAUGAUGAAAAGGUGAAGGUCGUCGAAGCAAAGUACAAAGCCGUCUAUAACCUAACAGAUGAUGUUGAUGAAAAUAAGUUGAAAAAAUUCGUCCUCUUAGUGUGCCAAAAUAUGAAAGCUAAAAUGAAAAAAAGAAGUUUUGUAAAGGCAAACGUUCUUAAGUACGAAGAUAGAUUUUUAAACACCAAUAUCUCUCUUCCGGAUGAGUUACUGCCCCAGGAAAAAAACAUUCCAUCACAAACGAGUACCCCAGAAAAAGAAUCCUCUCGUGGUCGCCCCCAGAAAGAAUUCUCUGAAAGUUCCGACAAGACCAAAAAACGGAGAGUUCAACAACUGCUCAAUGACUAUAGCCAUGAGGAGCUGCAAUAUGCUGCCAACUUAUCAAGAGAUAGUGGUUGUACUAAUACUAGCGAAACCCGCAAAUUUUCGCUGCAUGAAACUCUAGCAAACUGCCUAGAUCUAAAUUUGUCAGAUAGGAAAUACAAUUUGUUGAGAGAUAAAAUUAAUUCUCAUUUUGCCGGGGCUCUCCCAAGUCUAUAUAGUUUAAAUAAAUACAAGAAAGAAUUUUUUCCAGACAUUGAAUUUGUGUCCGAUACCACGGUGGAGCUGAACGUGCAAAGCAUGCUUAAUAAAACAGUCCAGAGCAUCUUUAAGAUGAUGGACGACGAAUUGAGAGAGAAAAGUGAAACUGAAUUAGUUCUAGUGAGCAAGUGGGGGAUGGAUGGCAGCUCGGGCCAUGGUACUUACAAACUUAAAUUUAGCGAUGCAAAAAACACUGAUGAAUAUCUUUUUCUAAUAGCAUUCGUUCCUCUAGAAGUUGUUGACAGCAAAUCAAACAUAUUAUGGAAAAAUCCAAAGCCUUGCUCAUCGUUUUAUUGCCGUCCUUUAAAAUUUAUUUUUGCCAAAGAAAAUUCAGAUUUAGUUUUAGCGGAAUUCCAGAAAUUUGAUGAAAUUUUCAAAAAUGGGGUUCAAAAUUUUACUUUAACCAACG
rnacentral:lncRNA from 1 species